rnacentral:rRNA from 1 species
UACAGAGGUCUCAAGCGUUGUUCGGAUUCAUUGGGCGUAAAGGGUGCGUAGGCGGCGCGGUAAGUCGGGUGUGAAAUCUCGGAGCUUAACUCCGAAACUGCAUUCGAUACUGCCGUGCUUGAGGACUGGAGAGGAGACUGGAAUUUACGGUGUAGCGGUGAAAUGCGUAGAUAUCGUAAGGAAGACCAGUGGCGAAGGCGGGUCUCGUGGACAGUUCCUGACGCUGAGGCACGAAGGCCAGGGGAGCAAACGGGAUUAGACGUACC